CUUUAUUAUCAGCUUUAACUUGAUUUAUACAUGCAAGUAUCUGCUCCCCCGUGAGAAUGCCCUUAAUUUCUUUAUCAGAAACGAGGAGCAAGCAUCAGGCACGGACCCUCUUUCCAGCCCAAGACGCUUUGCUAAGCCACGCCCUUAAGGGAAUUCAGCAGUAAUAAACAUUAAGCCAUGAACGAAAGCUCGACUUAGUUAAAGUUACCCGGGUCGGUAAAACUCGUGCCAGCCACCGCGGUUAUACGAGAGACUCUUGUUGAUAAUUACCGGCGUAAAGCGUGGUUAAGGUCUGACUCGCCUAAAGCUAAACACUUUCCCAGCUGUUAUACGCUCUCGAAAAAAGACACCCUUACACGAAAGUAGCUUUAUCCUCCUGAACCCACAACAAUUAGGAAACAAACUAGGAUUAGAUACCCUACUAUGCCUAAUCAUAAACUAUGAUAUUAAAAUACAACUAAUAUCCGCCAGGGUACUACGAGCACUAGCUUAAAACCCAAAGGACUUGGCGGUACUUCAAACCCACCUAGAGGAGCCUGUUCUAGAACCGAUAACCCACGUUUAACCUCACCACUUCUAGCCAAAUCCGCUUAUAUACCGCCGUCGUCAGCUUACCCUAUAAAGGAACCUCAGUAAGCAAAAGAGACUAAAACUCAAAAACGUCAGGUCG
rnacentral:rRNA from 1 species